AGAGUUUGAUCCUGGCUCAGAUUGAACGCUGGCGGCAUGCUUUACACAUGCAAGUCGAACGGUAACAGGGGAGCUUGCUCCCGCUGACGAGUGGCGAACGGGUGAGUAAUGCAUCGGAACGUACCGAGUAAUGGGGGGUAACUAUCCGAAAGGAUGGCUAAUACCGCAUACGAUCUUAGGAUGAAAGUGGGGGACCUUCGGGCCUCACGUUAUUCGAGCGGCCGAUGCCUGAUUAGCUAGUUGGUAGGGUAAAAGCCUACCAAGGCUACGAUCAGUAGCGGGUCUGAGAGGAUGAUCCGCCACACUGGGACUGAGACACGGCCCAGACUCCUACGGGAGGCAGCAGUGGGGAAUUUUGGACAAUGGGGGCAACCCUGAUCCAGCCAUGCCGCGUGUCUGAAGAAGGCCUUCGGGUUGUAAAGGACUUUUGUUAGGGAGGAAAAUUUAUCCAUUAAUACUGGGUAAAGCUGACAGUACCUAAAGAAUAAGCACCGGCUAACUACGUGCCAGCAGCCGCGGUAAUACGUAGGGUGCAAGCGUUAAUCGGAAUUACUGGGCGUAAAGCGAGCGCA
rnacentral:rRNA from 1 species